GUCCUAAAAAAUACAGAUUAUUGUAAGCCACCGUUACAUUGCAGUUUGAAUAUCAACAUUGAGCUUAAAUAUAGGGAACUACUACUUCAAAUAACGAUUCAAAUCAAAUGUACUGAGAAUCACUGAAAUAGAAGAUAUCAAAUUCGAAACAAGACAUUAGCUAUGUACACACUGCAGUAGUUCUGUACUGUAGAGCUUAUUUAGAUGUGGAUGUAAUACAUUAGCAGCAUAUCUACAACUCAAUAUUAUAGUCUAAAAAUUGUUGUACUUAUAUUCAAAAUUGAUACCAUAGUGUUCUUGAACAAACUCUUACAAGGGGAAACGUCAAUGUUGCUUUUAUCCACUAGAUGGAGACAUGGGGCCAAAAAUGUUUAUCACAGGCCGGAGACUUGUUUUUGCCCAGUUUAUGCUUACUAGUAGUGUAUACGUUACAGUAGUUCCUUGUGUAUUUGUCCAAAUUAAUUAUUAACAAUUUUAAUGUUUUGUGUAUUUUUAAAACGAAACACAAGCUUGCUUCGACUGUGCUCUCAAACGUCAGGGGCAAACUGGGCCUUUAAAGGCUCCUAAUUAUCGUGGAAAAGUACUGUAAUAAGAAACGCAAAUGUUUGUGCGUUUCCACAAGCACUAAACAGGAAAUUGGAGGUAGCACGUCGUCAGUGCGCAUGCGCAUGCGCCUCCGCCCUGCCGUGCACAAGCAAUGCACUCCAACAAGACGUGGGCACCAUCUUGUUUCCCGUCGGUGCUGGGAAUCGAGUGUUUAAAAAAAAAAAAAAUGUUGAAUGGCUGUCAUUAAUACGCCAUCAUCGUCAAGUCGUCGGGAGAAAAAGUAACACAAAUGUUUUAUCCUCUUUGCUCGCUGUGUCCUCCGCCUUGACGCUGGCUCGAAACAGACAACUUUUUAAUAUAAGUAUAACUAAAAAAAUUCGAAAAUUUACAGCCGAAAUUGUCGACUAAAAGUUUGCCUGCGGUUUUUGGUGCCCCAGCUUCAAUCGCCACCUUCUUUCCCACUUAAGUAUAUAUAAAUAUUUAUAGAUAUAUGGAGCAGAAAGGAGGAUCGAACCCGGAUCUCCUGGGUAGCAGUCAAUGUAUUAAACUUUUAGACCAGCUGUGGUCAACCGUUCGCAUGACGUCUGUUUGUAUUCAUCGACGAGUAAAUCCGUGAACACCAUACCCCAAAUGCGUUCCGACCAGAACUACGAUGCAGGCGGCCCGGGUUAGAACCCCCCUGCUGCAAGUUUGCUAUGUUUAAAUCAAAAGAUAAAAUCAAUAUAUUUAACUGUCUGCUUUUUCAAUGUAACACACAUUUUUUCCAUACUUUCCUGCGAUAAUAAUUUUUUUUUUUCCAAUUACGACGUCAUCACCAUCAGCCUAUUUAAGUCGGGCCAAAUGCGACACUCGUUCUCUUUAGCCAGCGUCCCGUCACCGGCGUUUCCACAAGAUAGCCCAAAACUUUGACAAGGGUGCUAGCAUGCUAGCUAAAACCUUUGAGCUCUCGGAGGCAUUUAACGUCUCCUGCGAGCUUAAACUACACCAAAACGCAUUUAUCUGGCGUAUAUGCUGAUAAAUGAAUGCACACAUUUUGGCUCAAACUUUUCCAGCAUUUUGCUGGAAAAGUGCUGUUUUGCAGGAGGUUCAAAUCUUCAACAAAAUGCCUGACUUCCUGUGAUUUUCGGGCCAGGCCUCUUGAGACUUUUGCCAUCGCUGACGAGGCGUCCGGCUGCGCCCUGCUCGCCUCACUGUUGGGACAAACUUUCAUAAAUGUAAAAAAACAAAAGUGACUAAUUUCUUUAAGCACGAGCUGACCAGGCAGCCUCCAGCGACGUCAUCACAGUUCAGGUGGGAACACUCACUCGAUGGCAACACCAAAUGUUGGGGUUAACGUUUAAUGUUGUGGUGCUUUUGUAUCAACAAAGGAAGAAGCAGAUGAGACUGAAGGAGGGUAAGGACACCUGAGAUGACUUUGCAGCAGUAACUUUUGGGUUUUGUUUUUGUUUUCCACGUCGGCACUCAUGACCGCUUCGACUUAUUGGAGAGCUGAGGAACAAGAUAUUGGUAUAAAAACAAAACAAAAUGGCUGACAUAAGGUUUUAACAUUUGUUCGCUUCUGCAGUUCCCCCAAAGUUCCACUCUGAGAUGAUGCGCUGCAGCCAGAACCCUCAAGGUCUUUACGUUCACGCUCCCGGACACUAGCAUGUUCUUGCUGCUCACGUCCACCAGGUGGGGCCCAAGAAUUCCUGGAGAACCUGAUCAACUGGUGGUGGAAACAUGGCGUCAUGAUCAACUUCCUGUCCAACAUGUUGAGAGGCCGUCGCUGACGAGGCGUCCGGCUGCGCCCUGCUCGCCUCACUGUUGGGACAAACUUUCAUAAAUGUAAAAAAACAAAAGUGACUAAUUUCUUUAAGCACGAGCUGACCAGGCAGCCUCCAGCGACGUCAUCACAGUUCAGGUGGGAACACGCACUCUAUGGCAACACCAAAUGUUGGGGUUAACGUUUAAUGUUGUGGUGCUUUUGUAUCAACAAAGGAAGAAGCAGAUGAGACUGAAGGAGGGUAAGGACACCUGAGAUGACUUUGCAGCAGUAACUUUUGGGUUUUGUUUUUGUUUUCCACGUCGGCACUCAUGACCGCUUCGACUUAUUGAAGAGCUGAGGAACAAGAUAUUGGUAUAAAAACAAAACAAAAUGGCUGACAUAAGGUUUUAACAUUUGUUCGCUUCUGCAGUUCCCCCAAAGUUCCACUCUGAGAUGAUGCGCUGCAGCCAGAACCCUCAAGGUCUUUACGUUCACGCUCCCGGACACUAGCAUGUUCUUGCUGCUCACGUCCACCAGGUGGGGCCCAAGAAUUCCUGGAGAACCUGAUCAACUGGUGGUGGAAACAUGGCGUCAUGAUCAACUUCCUGUCCAACAUGUUGAGAGGUCAGCUUCCUGUCCAAGUGCCAUCGGGGGCUCGGCCAGUAAGAUCCUGCACGUGCUGGGCAAAGAGAUGAGUUCUACAUGAAUGUGCAGAAGAUCUUCAAUGCUGCUGCCUUGAAUGUUGACACAUGCUAAUAAACUUACUAAACGGCAGCUUGACUGGUCCCUCACUCAUCUUGUUUUCAUGUGUCCUGGAGAAGUCUGUUGUCGCAGAAGGUUCCAGUCCAGUUAAGAGAACUGGGAUUUUUUUUGUGAGUUUUCUUUCUAUUUAUUUUUGUGUGAGUCACCACAGCCUCCUGACUUCCCGGAGACUGGAGGAACAAGAUGGUGGUAUAAAAACAGAAUGGCUGAAAUAAGCAAUUUAAUGUCUGUCUCUUGUGUUGCCCCAAAGUUGCAUUCUGAGAUGCGCUGCAGCCAGAACCCUCAAGUUCUUUACCUUCUCGCUCCCGGACAGUAGCAUGUUCUUGCUGCUCAUGUCCACCAGUGUGUGUGUGCAAGCUCUCAAGACCCUGUAGCUGUCAGACCAGGAUUUUGACCACCUGGAGCUGGAGAGACCCCACAACUCAAUCAAGCAUCUUGAA